AGUCGUUGAUGCUCCAUCUCAAUGAUUUUUAAUAUAGUUUUGGAUAAUACGUGAAACUUUUUGAGUUUUAUUGAUUCAAAUAAUAUAUAUGUAUGAAGGAAGGGUAAUAUUUAUGUUGUCAAUUUUGAAACAACGAACAUUUAAAUGGUGUCAAGAACAGUGCAAAUAACCAAAAAUCUCAUCAAAAAUAUUAAUUAUUUUCAAAUUAAAUAAUGUGAAAAUUUGAAUCUAUUAAUUUUUCUAAAUAAAAAUUGAGGAUCAUCGUGUGUGGAUCAAAAAAUGAAUUGAAUUAUUUUAAGUUUUCUGCGAAUUUUCAUUUGAUGACCGUUGUGAGUUUUUCCAAUGGCGCAUGCACGGCUCAGCUGUGUGCAAUCGCGACCAAUUUACGUAGAAAAAUAAUGUAUUUUAUAGUAUUUUUAUUCAAUUAGACGAAGUACUGGACACGGUAUUCGUGAUAUUAGGAAACAUGGACUGCCCAUUUAAUAUUGCUACAGUGCAUAAUUUUUGCUCAUAUUACAUGUAGCUUUUUGUUUUACAUUGUUUUUGAUGCAUCAAAAAGAAAACUACAUUUUUGAAGGAAAUUAUUCUUAGCUUGUAAUAGAAGAAAUGGAUGUAAUACGAGAUGAAGACAGGCGCAGGCGCCUGAGGGUGCUGGAAGAACGUAUAAAAGAUCCAAGAAGCAUUACAAAUAUUGAUUGCUUAUUGGAUACAGUCCAAGCCCUGGUGGCAGAUUGUGAUCACCCCAGCGUUAAACGUAUGAAAAAUAUAGAAGCAUAUAUGAAUAGAUAUGACUCAGUAGCUCAAGAUAUUUGUAAAAUGCGAAUGCGUACAGAUGAUUUCACUUUAAUAAAAGUAAUAGGUCGUGGGGCAUUUGGGGAAGUACAGUUAGUGCGACAUAAAUCUACACAAAAAGUAUAUGCUAUGAAAUUACUCAGUAAAUUUGAAAUGAUCAAACGAUCAGAUUCAGCAUUUUUUUGGGAAGAACGUGAUAUAAUGGCACAUGCCAAUUCACAGUGGAUAGUUCAACUUCAUUUUGCAUUUCAAGAUCAAAAAUAUCUAUAUAUGGUAAUGGAUUACAUGCCAGGUGGUGAUUUAGUGAAUUUAAUGUCAAAUUAUGAUGUACCAGAAAAAUGGGCAAAAUUUUAUUGCGCAGAAGUGGUGCUUGCAUUAGAUGCAAUACAUCUUAUGGGAUUUGUUCAUAGAGAUGUAAAACCAGAUAAUAUGUUACUUGAUAAGCAUGGUCACUUAAAACUUGCAGAUUUUGGCACUUGUAUGAGAAUGGAUGUUGAUGGUCUUGUUCGAUCUGAUACUGCAGUAGGUACACCUGAUUAUAUAUCACCUGAAGUACUUCAAUCUCAAGGUGGUGAAGGUGUAUAUGGAAGAGAAUGCGAUUGGUGGUCAGUUGGUGUAUUUUUGUAUGAAAUGCUUGUUGGUGAUACUCCAUUUUAUGCAGAUUCAUUAGUUGGAACAUAUUCAAAAAUCAUGGAUCAUAGAAAUUCAUUACAUUUUCCGCAAGAAGUUGAUAUCUCUCACUCUGCCAAGAAUUUGAUAUGUGGUUUCCUUACGGAUAGAACUAAACGUUUGGGCAGAAAUGGUGUGGAAGAAAUAAAAAAUCAUUUAUUCUUUAAAAACGAUCAAUGGACAUUUGAAAAUUUACGAGAAUGUGUGCCUCCUGUCGUGCCAGAACUUUCUGGUGAUGAUGAUACUAGCAAUUUUGAAGAUGUUGAUAAAGAAGAUGGACCAGAAGAAAGUUUUCCAGUACCAAAAGCAUUUUCGGGAAAUCAUUUACCUUUUAUUGGUUUUACAUAUUCAGGAGAUUAUCAAUUAUUAGCUUUUAAUGGGAAAGAAUCAGUAGAUGGAUUAGAAAAUCAUAUCAAUAAUGGUACAAGCGACGAUAUAAAAAUUUCUCAAUUAGAAAAUUUAUUGGAUAAAGAAAAAAGGCAAGUAGAAUCUUUAGAAUCAAGGCAAAAAGCUUUGACAACACAAUUGGAAGUUAUGACACGUCGAGAAACUGAAUUACGUGAAGAAAUAGGUAGAGCUGACAAAGAAUUAACUUUGUUAAGACAUAAUUAUAAAGAAGCACAACGUAGGGUAGAACAUGAAAUUGAAUCACGUAGAAAAGCAGAAUCAUUAUUUGUAGAAUUGAAAAAGAAGUUUGAUGAAGAACAGACAAAAAGAGCACGCGAUGCAAGUAAUUCACAACAAACUUCUGAACGUGUAACUAGUUUAGAAAAACAAAUUAAAGAAAUGCAAUCGAAAUUAGAAAGAGAAACGGAAACAGUUACAAGAUUACGGAAACAAGCUACGGAAAUUACUGUCGCUCGUCAAGCUGCAGAACAAAUGGCAAAUGAAUUACAAGUGGCAAGAGCACAAUUACAAGCGCAACGAGACAAUUUACAACAGGAAGUGGUUACAUUACAAGGACAAUUGUCGAAAGAACGUAGUUCUCGAUCACAAGCAUCAUCGCUAACUGCUGAAUUAGAAAGUCGUCUCUCUGCUCUUCAUCUCGAACUUGAACACAGCCGAGAAAAAGAGGAAAAAGCAAUCAUGGAUAACAGACAAUUAACUGAAAAAAUUUCAGCAUUGGAAAAAGAAGCUGCAAGCUUAACCCUUGAAUUGAAAGCUGCUCAAGCUAGAUACAAUCAGGAAGUUGUAGCUCAUCAAGAAACAGAACGUUCACGUAUAUUAUCCAAAGAAGAAGCUAAUUUAGAAGUUGUCAAGGCAUUACAAGCAAAAUUAAAUGAAGAGAAAAGUGGAAGACAACGUGCUGAAUUGCUUGCACAAGAAAAGGAAAGACAAACUUCUAUGCUUUCUGUGGAUUAUCGGCAGAUACAACAACGAUUACAGAAACUAGAGGGUGAGCACAGGCAAGAGAUGGAAAAAGUAAAAGUGCUACAGGGUCAGGUUGAACAAGAACAGCAAAAAAGAAACGUUCUGCAGACUGACUUGGCUCAGCAAUCAUCCGAAGCAGGACGUUUACGUGCUAGGGAACAGCAAUUAGUCGGUGAAGUUGCUCAAUUAAGGGAAGCGAAACGACAAAUAGAAGAGGAAUUACAUCAUUUAAAAACUCAAAGAAAUGUAGAUCAAUUACAAACUAAAGAAUUACAAGAACAAUUAGAAGCAGAAGCUUACUUUUCGACACUUUAUAAAACACAAACUCAAGAACUUCGAGAGGAACUUGAUGAAAAAAUACGAUUACAGCAAGAAUUGGAGGAAGAACGUAGUUCUUUGGUACAUCAAUUACAGUUAUCUCUAGCAAGAGGAGAUAGUGAAGCUUUGGCAAGAUCAAUAGCUGAAGAAACUGUUGCAGAUCUCGAAAAAGAACGAACGAUGAAAGAAUUAGAAUAUAAAGAUGGAGUAACUAAACAUCAUCAAGAAUUAAAUGCAAAAGAACAAAUUAUAAAUCGGCUUAAAGAUAGUGAAAGUGAACUCAAGAAAAAUGUUGAUCAAUAUCUCAAAGAAAAAGAAGAUUUAAAUAAACGGUUUAAAGAAUUGCAAGAUCAACUUUCUAAGGCACAAUCUAAUGCAGAGGAAAUAGAAAAACUCAGCAGUAAAUUAAAAACUGAACAACUAUUGAAACAACAAGCAGUUAAUAAAUUAGCAGAGAUUAUGAAUAGAAAAGAUUUAUCUUCAAGCGGUAAAUCUAAGAAUAAAGCAUCUGCAGCAGAUUUAAGAAAGAAGGAAAAAGAUUGUAGGCGUUUGCAACAGGAGCUUACUCAGGAAAGAGAGAAAUAUGGACAAUUGGCAGCUAAAUGGCAAAAAGAUUUACAAGAUUUACAAGCUCAAUUGGUGGAAGAAAAUCAAGCAAAAUUGAGAUUGCAAAUGGAACUUGACUCAAAAGAUUCUGAAAUAGAAACCUUACAAAUGAAGAUUGCUUCACUCAAUUCAGAAACAGCUAGUGUUUCGUCUGUAGAAAACGACGGAGAGGAUUCUGUUUUAUCAGAACAUGGAACCAUGCGAUUAGAAGGUUGGUUAAAUGUGCCAAAUAAACAGAAUAUUAAAAGGCACGGAUGGAAGAAACAAUACGUUGUCGUCUCUUCAAAGAAAAUAAUAUUUUAUAAUAGCGAAAAUGAUAAAUUAAAUGCUGAUCCAGUAUUGAUAUUGGAUUUAAAUAAAGUCUUCCACGUUAGAUCUGUUACGCAAGGUGAUGUCAUCCGAGCCGAUGCCAAAGAUAUUCCGAGGAUUUUUCAAUUAUUAUAUGCUGGCGAAGGCGAAGCAAGACGUCCUGGUGAUGAAGGAAAUACACUGCCUGGAGUGGAAUUGCCACAACUUACUGACAAACCAGGCACGCAAUCAUUAAAAGGUCAUGAAUUUGUAUCAAUAUCGUAUCACAUGCCAACUACUUGUGAGGUAUGCUCAAAACAACUAUGGCAUAUGUUUCGACCACCGCCAGCUCUCGAGUGUCGACGAUGUCGUAUAAAAGUACAUAAGGAGCAUUUGGACAAAAAGGAGGAUGCCAUAGCACCGUGUAAAUUACAUUAUGAUCCAAAUAGCGCUCGCGAACUAUUAAUUUUGGCUGGUAGUCCUGAUGAACAAAAAUAUUGGGUCGCAAGACUGUCUAGACGUGUACAAAAAUGUGGCUACAAGGCGAACUCGCACGUCGAUGGUACGGGACAGCGUGUCUCGCCAAGGUAGCGUAGCCGUGCGACUCAACGUAACUGGAGACUAAGUAGCUCUCUUAUAUUGUGGCAUCGCAUGAUUGGGUGUAGCGAGGUUAGAGUCGUUUGAUUUUUCUUGCACUCUCAUAUUUUUACAAAGAAUCUUUCGGUUUUUCAUCAAUCAUGAAAAAGACACCAUUGGUAGUGUUCCAGAAUCUACGAGAUCCACCUUGAAGCCAUAUUUAUCAGUGCAACAACGAUCCGCAACUCUACCAGCAAAUGCCAGUAUGGGCAAGUGACCUUAGCUAGCAUCGAUAACACUCGAUUGGAAUUCGUUAUUUCGACACCUUUCCUAAUCGAUUAAUUUAAACAUAUAAAUUCGAUCAGUUGCUCAGAUAAAUGAUUUAUAAGAGGAUCUAAAUGUGUAAAAAUAAUUUUCGAAACUCUGCGUUAUCUGGAUAAUAUUUUGAGAAAUCUGGAGUUCAUGUGUCUUAAAAGCAUCCGAUCCGAAAUAUAUACAGAAUCAUGUGUUAUUAUCAACUUUUUAACGAGUACGAGGAUAUUCAACGAAAUUAUUCGUUGACACGUUUACUUGUAUUGAUCGUUAUUUGUAGGUACAUAUUUGUUAAACGAAUUAAAUGUGCCUUUAAUAUAAUCUGACGAUGAUGGAACUCAAAUAAUUGAAAAAAGAGUUGAAGAAGUAAGACUCAUUAGCAAAUGUCAUGUGAUGAAAAUUUCCAGGAAACGAGUUGAUUAUAUAAUGAUGAUAAUGGCAGAAGUAUGCAGCUGUUAUUAACAAGACAAAAUGAUAAUAAUACUGUUUAUAUAUAAGAGCAGUGAUCGUAACAAAUUUAAGUACGUGAACCGCGUUUUUUUAGAUUUAUUAUACUAUGAGUAAACUCAUUAGUUAAUUUGUAUAGUCUCUCUAAGAGGCCAUCAUCAUAUGUUGUUUUAUAAAUAUUUUUUGUAUGAACGAAUAGAUCGAUUUUUUAUGAUGAUUUAUUUCUUUCGUAGAUGCUUACAAUUAAUGAUUUUCCUGUAUAUAAAUUACAAUUGUAAGAACUGCUUUUUCAUUUGAUCAAGCAGUUUGUUCGUUGACUUUAGCGAUCGUGAAAAAAAAGUGGAUAUAAUGACGAUUUCGCGAAGAGAAAUCGUUAUUUGUGCGAUAUACAUGUAUAAUUUAUUCCGUUCCUUUAUUUAAAAUGCGCGUUUUAAGAACUUGGUAAUAUUUUUGUGUAUUUACUGCGCCACAUCGAGAGUAUUAUUAUUUCAAUAUGUUUCGAGAUUAAAGAUAUUUAAUGACAAUUAUGUUAAGAAGAAAAGAAGAUUUGACUCGUUCAUAAAAAGACGCGUUGUAUCCAGUUGGUUAGAAUAGCUGACAAAGUUUUUUUUUAACAUGAAAAUGCAUCGAUAAAUAAUGUCGAUAGUAAAUAUGGAACACUGAAAAUUGAAAAUUUUUUUAUCACGAAAUUAUCAUAAGAGAUACAUCUUUCGAAUUUUGAAAUUCAUAAUAAUCUUAAAGUAUCUUAAAUUUUUAAAUCAUUAACACAAACAUAUUUUUAGGACCUUCGAACCUUCCAGAUUUUUCAAUUUUUGUUUUGUUUUCUUAUUUUUAUAUUUAUCAGUGAAAAAUUUGUAUUUUAAAUCAUUAAUUCAUAUUUUCGAAGACUUUCAAAACAUUAAAAAAUUAGGCGCUUUACAUAUUUCGUGAAUCUUUGUUAUCGCUGCCAUGUAUUAGUUAGAAUAUAUAUACAGAUUGUGAUUAA